ensembl:snoRNA Gm22313 predicted gene, 22313
UAUGUUUAUAAUCAUUUAAAAUAUUUGCACUGCUGUGUCACAUGUGUGUCAGCAGAUAGCAGAGAGGAGAAAACCUGUCUGGCCAGUGUUCUGGCCUAUGAAUAUCUGAAAGAUUAGUAGCCUUAAAGU